rnacentral:sRNA from 1 species
AAUUACCCAAGUCUGCGUUAGGGAUAGAAGCGAUAUCCUUUUUCUUGCUCCUUUAGCAAGGAAAAGAUAAAAGCGAAUAGCCCGACCGUAG